rnacentral:rRNA from 1 species
UACGGAGGGUGCAAGCGUUAUCCGGAUUCACUGGGUUUAAAGGGUGCGUAGGUUGAUAGGUAAGUCAGUGGUGAAAUACUCCGACUCAAUCGGAGAACUGCCGUUGAUACUAUCUAUCUUGAAUACGGUGGAGGCGGGCGGAAUGCGUCAUGUAGUGGUGAAAUUCGUAGAUAUUCGGAAGAACACCAGUGGCGAAGGCGACACACUGGACCGGCAUUGACGCUGAGGCGCGAAAGCCAGGGGAGCAAACGGG